rnacentral:rRNA from 1 species
AAGCAGUGGGAGCCCCACCACUAAGCCAGUGGUGAACUCCACAUACGCAUCCUUUGCUGAGGAUACGGUUAACGGAGCGAAAGCGACGUUCAACCUCAAAAGAAGCAGAGGGGGCUUAGUGGUGGGGUGACUGCGUACCUUUUGUAUAAUGGGUCAGCGACUUAUAUUCUGUAGCAAGGUUAACCGUAUAGGGGAGCCGCAGGGAAACCGAGUCUUAACCGGGCGUUAAGUUGCAGGGUAUAGACCCGAAACCCGGUGAUCUAGCCAUGGGCAGGUUGAAGGUUGGGUAACACUAACUGGAGGACCGAACCGACUAAUGUUGAAAAAUUAGCGGAUGACCUGUGGCUGGGGGUGAAAGGCCAAUCAAACCGGGAGAUAGCUGGUUCUCCCCGAAAGCUAUUUAGGUAGCGCCUCGUGAACUCAUCUCCGGGGGUAGAGCACUGUUUCGGCUAGGGGGCCAUCCCGGCUUACCAACCCGAUGCAAACUGCGAAUACCGGAGAAUGUUAUCACGGGAGACACACGGCGGGUGCUAACGUCCGUCGUGAAGAGGGAAACAACCCAGACCGCCAGCUAAGGUCCCAAAGUCAUGGUUAAGUGGGAAACGAUGUGGGAAGGCCCAGACAGCCAGGAUGUUGGCUUAGAAGCAGCCAUCAUUUAAAGAAAGCGUAAUAGCUCACUGGUCGAGUCGGCCUGCGCGGAAGAUGUAACGGGGCUAAACCAU